CAGUACCCUAACACAGUGGUAGCUGAGAGCAUAGGGAGAAAGGAGCCUGUGGGCACAAGGAACAAAACAUGCAACAGCAGCCCAAACAUCUGUGUGUUUGUGUGUGGAUUUUUUCAACUGACUGAAUGGGUGGAAGCACAUGGGACUGCCUUUCACAAAGUCUCAGCUUUCUCCACGGGAUUCUGUUCCACUUUAUCACACCCUCCCUUCUGUUGGUGAGGACUUGCAGACGUACAGAGGCUCCUUUGUGUGAGAGCAGUUUGGUGGAAGAAGGAAAGAAGUAUCAAGAGAGGGGCGGUGACGGCGUGUGACAGCUCAGGUGGAACUUUUACAGCAUCCUGCACCAAACUAUUCUCAGCUGCUGUCCAGGGUGCUCGCUGAAGGGCAGGACGUCUGCUGCUGCCAAGCAACGGGGCACGAUCGCCGCACUUUCUAAACGCUAAUUUUGGACCUGUGUCGGUGUCACCCAUGAGUAUGUUUAGAAUUUGUGUCAGCGCGACCACAAGACACCGAUGUAUAGCAUGUUGGAGAAAGGGAAAACACAACUAUGCAUUUUUAAACUAGAAAUAUUUCCUUUUAAAAUGCACCCUAUUAUAAGUAUUGAAAAUUACAAUUUAAAAAUUGUGUAAGUUUUUUGU